UGCCCGAUCGUCUAACGGUAAGACUACGGACUCUGACUCCGUCAAUCGUGGUUCGAAUCCACGUCGGGCAUCCA
rnacentral:tRNA from 1 species